rnacentral:rRNA from 1 species
AUGGGUGGUUUAGGCAAGACUACUCUCGCAAGGAAGGCAUUUGAAAGUAAGGAAGACAUUAAGAACACAUUUUCUUGUUGUGCAUGGGUCACCGUCUCGCAGUCCUUUUCCAAGAUAGAGAUGCUCAAGGACAUGAUUAGGCAACUUUUGGGUACCGAUUCAAUGAAGAAAUGCUUGAAAGAUCUUGAAGGCAAGUCAUUGCAAGUAGAUGAUCUCGGCAUAUACCUCAGGAAAGAGCUAGAGGAGAAGAGGUACUUUAUUGUUCUUGAUGAUUUGUGGUCCAUCGAUGCUUGGAAUUGGAUCACAAAUUUUGCUUUUCCUAUUAGAAACAAUAGAGGUAGCCGAAUAAUAGUAACAACACGAGAUGUGGGAUUGGCUGAGCAAUGCACUUCUGAAUCGCUUAUCUACCAUCUUAAGCACCUGCAAGCAGAUGAUGCCACAAAUUUGCUACUAAGAAAGAGUAGGAAAACGCAGAAAGACAUUGAAAAUGAUGAGACCAUGAAGACCGUGGUCGCUAAAAUAGUAAAGAAGUGUGGUGGUCUACCACUGGCUGUACUCACUAUAGGAGGCAUGCUUGCCACCAAAAAACUGUCAGAGUGGGAAAGUAUUUAUAAGCAGAUUCCCUCGGAGCUCGAGAUCAACCCUAGCCUCGAAGCAAUGAGGUCGAUAGUGACUCUCAGUUACAACCACCUGCCAUCUCAUCUCAAAUCAUGCUUUCUCUAUUUGAGCAUUUUUCCUGAGGAUUCUGAAAUAAAAAGGAGGCGUCUGGUAGAGAGAUGGAUAGCUGAGGGACUUGUCAGAGCCAAGGAUGGGAUACACUUACAUGAUGUUGGAAUAAGUUAUUUCACUGAGCUUAUCAACCGUAGCAUGAUUCAACCCUCAAAAGUGAGCAUAGAAGGGGACAUUAAGAGUUGCCGAAUCCAUGAUAUCAUGCGUGAUGUCAUGGCCUCAAUUGCUAGAGAGGAAAAUUUUGUGUACUUGGUGGGAGAUGAUGUAACCAGUGCCGUGGAGGGCAACUUUCGCCAUGUAGCAUACCAUGGUAGCAAGUGCCAAGAUAUAGGCAUUGAUUGGAGCCAUGUGCGGUCAAUAACCAUGUUUGGUGACAGACCUGUGGAGUCAUCACCUUCACUUUGUUCACGUGACGGGAGGAUUCUAAGAGCCUUGGAUCUAGAGGAUCCACAUUUUGGAGCCACACAGAUAGAUAUCAAUAAUAUAAGGUUGUUCCGUCACUUGAAAUAUGUGAAUCUAUUCUAUGAUAAGGGUAUACAAAUAUUUAUAAGCUUCCAAGAUCCAUAG